CACGUAGGCGGGUAUUUAAGUCAGGGGUGAAAUCCCAGAGCUCAACUCUGGAACUGCCUUUGAUACUGGGUACCUAGAGUAUGGAAGAGGUAAGUGGAAUUCCGAGUGUAGAGGUGAAAUUCGUAGAUAUUCGCAAGAACACCAGUGGCGAAGGCGGCUCACUGGGCCAUUACUGACGCUGAGGCACGAAAGCGUGGGGAGCAAACA
rnacentral:rRNA from 1 species